AUGGAGCGGCUGAGAGCCCUUCGAGGUCUCUUUGCUUGUGUGGGCUGCAUGCCCAGACGUACGCGUCGCGGGAGCAGAGGCAGGGCGGCAAGCGCUGUCCCUGCCUGUCCCGUGACGUUGCUGCUGCAGCGCCUGCAAGACAGGGAGGGUGACCGAGCGCAGGCGUACUGCGAGCUGGAGAGCGCCCUGUGGGAAGAGGACAGCCGCCCGCCGUGCGGAGUGGCGAACCGGCUGCUGGCAGAGGUGUCCCAGGACCUGACGGCAGCCCAGGGCGCGAUGGACAACGUGAGGACGGCUGCCAGCAAUGUCCUGGUGGCUCUGGCCCGCUCGCACUUCAGCUUGGUGAUGGCCGAGCUCCAGGGCCACCUGAAGGCCGUGGCGGAGAUGUCCAAGGAGUUUGCGCUCGUCACCCUGAGCAAGCUGUUCAGCAGCUACGCUCCGCAGUGCAUCGCCUUCAUGUGCCUGACACUGGCCGGCCUGCGCAGUGUGGCUGGCCAGGUGAGGAGCGGCCGCACCCUGCGCAUCGCUUGUGCUGUUGUCAAACAAUGGUCGGAAGGAGUCAAGGCUCACCUGUACUCCGGAAAGCAAUGCCCCUGGCCCGCCACGGAGAAAGAGCGAAUCUUUGAGAAUCUUUACCAGCUCCUCUGCUCUGUGGUGAGGAACUGGCAGGGCUGCGAGGAGGAACAGGUGAGCGCUGCUGCAGUGCCAUCCCGGGAUGGCAGCGGGG
rnacentral:lncRNA from 1 species